GGGUCAGACCCACUGUGAGUUUUUUACUGCUGUCUGUAUCCUCAUGAGGAAGAUUUAAUCUAACUUCCUGUCCGUGAGACAACAGGAAGUGAAAGGAAAUCUACCUCUAGGAAGGAAAAUUCACUCCUACAAGAGUUA